rnacentral:rRNA from 1 species
UGGGGAAUUUUGGACAAUGGGCGCAAGCCUGAUCCAGCAAUGCCGCGUGCAGGAUGAAGGCCUUCGGGUUGUAAACUGCUUUUAUACCGGAGAAAACCUCUCCUCGUGAGGAGAGCUGAUAGUAUGGUAGGAAUAAGCACCGGCUAACUCCGUGCCAGCAGCCGCGGUAAUACGGAGGGUGCGAGCGUUGUCCGGAUUUAUUGGGUUUAAAGGGUGCGUAGGUGGUUGAGUAAGUCUGGUUUGAAAGUCAGUCGCUUAACGAUUGAGGGUGGCUGGAUACUGCUGAACUUGAAUGCCCUGGAGGUAGGAGGAACGGGUUGUGUAGCGGUGAAAUGCAUAGAUAUGACCCAAAACCCCAAUUGCGAAGGCAGCCUACUACGGGGUGAUUGACACUGAGGCACGAGAGCAUGGGGAGCAAACA